rnacentral:rRNA from 1 species
AUUGAACGCUGGCGGCAGGCCUAACACAUGCAAGUCGAGCGAGCGGCGGACGGUUGAGUACUGUCUGGUAAACUGUCUGAUGGAUGGGGAUAACUACUGGAAACGGUAGCUAAUCCCGCAUACCAUCAGAUGUGCCCAGAGGGGAUGAGCUGGUAGGUGGGGUAACGGCUCACCUAGGCGACGAUCCCUAGCUGGUCUGAGAGGAUGACCAGCCACACUGGAACUGAGACACGGUCCAGACUCCUACGGGAGGCAGCAGUGGGGAAUAUUGCACAAUGGGCGAAAGCCUGAUGCAGCAAUGCCGCGUGUAUGAAGAAGGCCUUCGGGUUGUAAAGUACUUUUAGCGGGGAGGCGUUACCCGAAGAAGAAGCAACGGCUAACUCCGUGCCAGCAGCCGCGGUAAUAC